rnacentral:rRNA from 1 species
UACGGAGGGUGCAAGCGUUAAUCGGAAUUACUGGGCGUAAAGGGUGCGUAGGUGGUUGAUUAAGUUAUCUGUGAAAUCCCUGGGCUUAACCUGGGCAGGUCAGAUGAUACUGAUUGACUCGAGUAUGGGAGAGGGUAGUGGAAUUUCCGGUGUAGCGGUGAAAUGCGUAGAGAUCGGAAGGAACACCAGCGGCGAAGGCGGCAUCCUGGACUGGUCCUGACACUCAGGAGCGAAAGCGUGGGGAGCGAUCCGG